CAUACACACACGUGUAUGUAAAAGCUAUGUACUGUGAUAGCUUUACAACUAUCAAACCUGUUGCCCCGGUUUCCAAACUCACGUGUCCACUGUUUAAACCAUUAAUUUCAAAUUUCAAACUCCUGUACUUUCAUCUUUGUUUGAAUGGUUUUAAUUUGUUAAGGAUUUGAAACCCUUAAUUUCUUUAGGGUAUUUUCUGAGCAAGAAAACACUUUAAUACCUCUUCUCCUUCUUCCGCUUCCAUUUACUUUUACAGCAUUUGUGUUUAUCGCGUUUACUAUUUUUAACUAAAGAUGGAAGAGCUGUCUCUCAAUUUGGUUAUUGACGAUCACAAUAAUCAAGUAGUAAGAACCAUUGUAGUCCGGCGAAUAAACAUGUAAGCCACCAGCUGUUCGAUAUUAUGCAUCAAUGAAUUUGAUUUUCUAUUGAUGCUCUUUAUGAGUGUAGAUUUCUGACAUAUCUAAAUCAUGGAGAAUAUUGAAGGAUAUGGAGAUGGAAUGUAUUGAUCGUAUCACCGGGAAUAAUUUUGUAGAAUUGAUUAUAUGAAUACUUGCAGCCCUGGAGAUUGAUAAAUUUUAUGAUGGUGAUGAUGCUAUCUUGCUUCCAAUUGAAAGUCUACCACCUUUCUGCUUCUCAGUUUCUUGAUUCCUUAUGGAUUUCCAAGUCUUCGGCUUCUUUUCAAGGUUAUAUAAAUCACUCAAAGAAAAAGCACAUGUUCCGAGUUCAGUUGAUCAAGAACCAGCAAAAAUGUCAUCAUCAAGUAGCGGUACUCUUUCGAAAUUGAGGCAUGUCAUUAUAUGCACAGAAACCAUGCUUCAACUUGCAUAUGAGGGCUGGAGAUGCAACUCAGGUUUCUACGGAUACCCUCAAGAAUACAGAAGCAAUUGCUGCAGAUACUAUGCAGGCAACCACUCCUUCUGUUUUUCUUACCCCUGAGCAGAAACUAAAGCAAAAUAACAUUUCUCAGGCGAAUGUUGGAAGUGGAAGUGUAAGUAGUGGCAUAUUAAGGAAUGAAACUGUUAGUAUAAAAGCGCUAGAUAAGGUGAUUUGCAUCUUCCCAAAAUUGUUCCAAAUGAUGAAUCAACGAUUGUCUAUAAAUCCUUCUGAGUUCAUGGCUAAUUGGUUAUAGCUUUUUUAGAAAGAAAAAAAAUGUGGUUUAUGUUUGCGAUUGUACUCUGUUCAUGGUAAUGCCAAUUGUUCAUUAUGUAUCA